AGAGUUUGAUUCUGGCUCAGGAUGAACGCUGGCGGCAUGCUUAACACAUGCAAGUUGAACGAAGCUUUUGAAAGCUUGCUUUCGAAAGACUUAGUGGCGGACGGGCGAGGAACGCGUAAGAAUCUGCCUUUAGGAAAAGGAUAACAACUGGAAACGGUUCCUAAUACUUUAUAAGCUGAGAAGUGAAAUGGAUUUAUUUCCGCCUAGAGAUGAGCUUGCGUCUGAUUAGUUUGUUGGUGGGGUAAAAGCCUACCAAGGCGACGAUCAGUAGUUGGUCUGAGAGGAUGACCAGCCGCAUUGGGACUGAGACACGGCCCAGACUCCUACGGGAGGCAGCAGUGAGGAAUUUUCCGCAAUGGGCGAAAGCCUGACGGAGCAAUGCCGCGUGAAGGAUGACGGCCUGCGGGUUGUAAACUUCUUUUCUUAGAAAAGAUAUUGACGGUAUCUAAGGAAUAAGCAUCGGCUAACCCCGUGCCAGCAGCCGCGGUAAUACGGGGGAUGCAAGCGUUAUCCGGAAUGAUUGGGCGUAAAGCGUUUGAACAGGUGGUUUAAAAAGUCGAUUGUUAAAACCCAAGGCUUAACCUUGGACUGGCAAUGGAAACUUUUAGACUAGAGUAUGGUAGAGGUAGAUGGAAUUACCGGUGUAACGGUGAAAUGUGCAGAUAUCGGUAAGAACUCCAAGGGCGAUGGCAAUCUACUGGGCCAAAACUGACACUUAAGAACGAAAGCUAGGGGAGCGAAUAGGAUUAGAUACCCUAGUAGUCCUAGCUGUAAGCGAUGGAAACUAAGUAUUGAGCAAUGAGCAGUACUGUAGCUAACGCGUUAAGUUUCCCGCCUGGGAAGUAUGCUCGCAAGAGUGAAACUCAAAGAAAUUGACGGGGGCCCGCACAAGCGGUGGAGCAUGUGGUUUAAUUCGAUUCAACGCGAAGAACCUUACCGGGGAUUGACAUUUUGCGCAUUUUUUGGAAACGAAAAAGUUCAAACGCAUAAACAGGUGGUGCAUGGCUGUCGUCAGCUCGUGUCGUGAGACGUAAGGUUAAGUCCUGUAACGAGCGCAACCCUUAUUGUUAGUUGUUUUUAGGAAACUAGCGAAACGGCCAGUUAUAAGCUGGAGGAAGGUGAGGAUGACGUCAAGUCAGCAUGCCCCUUAAAUCCCGGGCUACACACGUGCUACAAUGGUUAGGACAAAGAGAUGCUAACUCGUGAGAGCACGCCAACCUCAAAAACCUAAUCUCAGUUCGGAUUGCAGGCUGCAACUCGCCUGCAUGAAGCCGGAAUCGCUAGUAAUCGCAGGUCAGCCAUACUGCGGUGAAUACGUUCCCGGGCCUUGUACACACCGCCCGUCACACCAUGGAAGCUGAUUGGGCCCGAAGUCGUUGUAUAACGCCUACGGCACAGUUAGUGACUGGGGUGAAGUCGUAACAAGGUA
rnacentral:rRNA from 1 species